rnacentral:rRNA from 1 species
UACGAAGGGGGCUAGCGUUGUUCGGAUUUACUGGGCGUAAAGCGCACGUAGGCGGAUCGUUAAGUCGGGGGUGAAAUCCUGGAGCUCAACUCCAGAACUGCCUUCGAUACUGGCGAUCUAGAGUCCGGGAGAGGUGAGUGGAACUGCGAGUGUAGAGGUGAAAUUCGUAGAUAUUCGCAAGAACACCAGUGGCGAAGGCGGCUCACUGGCCCGGAACUGACGCUGAGGUGCGAAAGCGUGGGGAGCAAACAGG